UACGAAGGGGGGCUAGCGUUGCUCGGAAUCACCGGGCGUAAAGCGCACGUAGGCGGAUUCUUAAGUCGAGGGGUGAAAUCCUGGAGCUCAACUCCAGAACUGCCUUUGAUACUGAGGGUCUUGAGUUUGGGAGAGGUGAGUGGAACUGCGAGUGUAGAGGUGAAAUUCGUAGAUAUUCGCAAGAACACCAGUGGCGAAGGCGGCUCACUGGCCCGAUACUGACGCUGAGUGCGAAAGCGUGGGGAGCAAACAGGG
rnacentral:rRNA from 1 species